GACGAACGCUGGCGGCGUGCUUAACACAUGCAAGUCGAACGUGAUUUUUGUGGAAAUUCUUUCGGGAAUGGAAAUGAAAUGAAAGUGGCGAACGGGUGAGUAACACGUGAGCAACCUACCUUACACAGGGGGAUAGCCGUUGGAAACGACGAUUAAUACCGCAUGAGACCACAGAAUCGCAUGAUAUAGGGGUCAAAGAUUUAUCGGUGUAAGAAGGGCUCGCGUCUGAUUAGCUAGUUGGAAGGGUAAAGGCCUACCAAGGCGACGAUCAGUAGCCGGUCUGAGAGGAUGAACGGCCACAUUGGAACUGAGACACGGUCCAAAACUCCUACGGGAGGGCAGCAGUGGGGAAUAUUGCACAAAUGGGGGGAAACCCCUGAUG
rnacentral:rRNA from 1 species